rnacentral:rRNA from 1 species
GACGUAGGGCGCGAGCGUUGUCCGGAUUUAUUGGGCGUAAAGAGCUCGUAGGCGGCUUGUCGCGUCGACUGUGAAAGCCCGCGGCUCAACCGCGGGUCUGCAGUCGAUACGGGCAGGCUAGAGUUCGGUAGGGGAGACUGGAAUUCCUGGUGUAGCGGUGAAAUGCGCAGAUAUCAGGAGGAACACCGAUGGCGAAGGCAGGUCUCUGGGCCGAUACUGACGUGAGGAGCGAAAGCGUGGGGAGCGAACAGG